ACCGGAGACGGAAGGAGUGCUUUUAUUAGAUCAAAACCAAUCGGUGGCGGGUUCGCUCGUCAUCGUACAACUUGGUGACUCUGAAUAACUUUACGCUGAUCGCACGGUCUCGCACCGGCGACGCAUCUUUCAAAUGUCUGCCUUAUCAACUUUCGAUGGUAGGUUCUGCGCCUACCAUGGUUGUAACGGGUAACGGGGAAUCAGGGUUCGAUUCCGGAGAGGGAGCCUGAGAAACGGCUACCACAUCCAAGGAAGGCAGCAGGCGCGCAAAUUACCCACUCCCGGCACGGGGAGGUAGUGACGAAAAAUAACGAUACGGGACUCAUCCGAGGCCCCGUAAUCGGAAUGAGUACACUCUAAACCCUUUAACGAGUAUCAAUUGGAGGGCAAGUCUGGUGCCAGCAGCCGCGGUAAUUCCAGCUCCAAUAGCGUAUAUUAAAGUUGUUGCGGUUAAAAAGCUCGUAGUCGAAUCUGUGUCCCACGCCGCCGGUUCAUCGUCCGCGGUGUCAACUGGCGUGUCGCGGGACGUCCUGCCGGUGGGCUUAGCCCGCGAGGGCGGCCCAACUCAAUCCUGCCGCGGUGCUCUUCACUGAGUGUCGAGGUGGGCCGGCACGUUUACUUUGAACAAAUUAGAGUGCUUAAAGCAGGCUAAAACUUCGCCUGAAUACUGUGUGCAUGGAAUAAUGGAAUAGGACCUCGGUUCUAUUUUGUUGGUUUUCGGAACCCCGAGGUAAUGAUUAAUAGGAACGGAUGGGGGCAUUCGUAUUGCGACGCUAGAGGUGAAAUUCUUGGAUCGUCGCAAGACGGACAGAAGCGAAAGCAUUUGCCAAAAACGCUUUCAUUGAUCAAGAACGAAAGUUAGAGGUUCGAAGGCGAUCAGAUACCGCCCUAGUUCUAACCAUAAACGAUGCCAGCUAGCGAUCCGUCGACGUUCCUCCGAUGACUCGACGGGCAGCUUCCGGGAAACCAAAGCUUUUGGGUUCCGGGGGAAGUAUGGUUGCAAAGCUGAAACUUAAAGGAAUUGACGGAAGGGCACCACCAGGAGUGGAGCCUGCGGCUUAAUUUGACUCAACACGGGAAACCUCACCAGGCCCGGACACCGGAAGGAUUGACAGAUUGAGAGCUUUUUCUUGAUUCGGUGGGUGGUGGUGCAUGGCCGUUCUUAGUUGGUGGAGCGAUUUGUCUGGUUAAUUCCGAUAACGAACGAGACUCUAGCCUGCUAACUAGGCGUAUUUUGACAUCGCAAAGGCCCGCCGGUAUCGGGGUUUACUCCUUUAUCGCGCGCGGUUUUUACUGUCGGCGUACAAACAAUUCUUCUUAGAGGGACAGGCGGCUUCUAGCCGCACGAGAUUGAGCAAUAACAGGUCUGUGAUGCCCUUAGAUGUUCUGGGCCGCACGCGCGCUACACUGAAGGAAUCAGCGUGUCCUCCCUGGCCGAGCGGCCCGGGUAA
rnacentral:rRNA from 1 species